rnacentral:rRNA from 1 species
GUAGGUGGCAAGCGUUGUCCGGAAUUAUUGGGCGUAAAGCGCUCGCAGGGCGGUCCUUUAAGUCUGAUGUGAAAGCCCACGGCUCAACCGUGGAGGGUCAUUGGAAACUGGGGGACUUGAGUACAGAAGAGGAAAGCGGAAUUCCAAGUGUAGCGGUGAAAUGCGUAGAGAUUUGGAGGAACACCAGUGGCGAAGGCGGCUUUCUGGUCUGUAACUGACGCUGAGGCGCGAAAGCGUGGGGAGCAAACAGGAUUAGAUACCCUGGUAGUCCACGCCGUAAACGAUGAGUGCUAAGUGUUAGGGGGUUUCCGCCCCUUAGUGCUGCAGCUAACGCAUUAAGCACUCCGCCUGGGGAGUACGGCCGCAAGGCUG